GUGCUCGCUUCGGCAGCACAUACACUAAAAUUGGAACAAUACAGAGAAAGAUUAGCGUGACCACCGCGCAAGGUUGACACACAAAUUUGUGAAGCGUUCCAUAUUUUG
rnacentral:snRNA from 1 species